ACGGAGGGUGCAAGCGUUAUCCGGAAUCAUUGGGUUUAAAGGGUCCGUAGGCGGACUAAUAAGUCAGGGGUGAAAUCCAACAGCUUAACUGUUGAACUGCCCUUGAUACUGUUAGUCUUGAAUUAUAUGGAAGUAGAUAGAAUGUGUAGUGUAGCGGUGAAAUGCUUAGAGAUUACACAGAAUACCGAUUGCGAAGGCAGUCUACUACGUAUAUAUUGACGCUAAUGGACGAAAGCGUGGGGAGCGAACAGG
rnacentral:rRNA from 1 species